AGUGAACGCUGGCGGUAGGCCCAACACAUGCAAGUCGAACGGCAGCACAGUAAGAGCUUGCUCUUACGGGUGGCGAGUGGCGGACGGGUGAGGAAUACAUCGGACUCUACUUUUUCGUGGGGGAUAACGUAGGGAAACUUACGCUAAUACCGCAUACGACCUACGGGUGAAAGCAGGGGAUCUUCGGACCUUGCGCGAUUGAAUGAGCCGAUGUCGGAGUAGCUAGUUGGCGGGGUAAAGGCCCACCAAGGCGACGAUCUGUAGCUGGUCUGAGAGGAUGAUCAGCCACACUGGACCUGAGACACGGUCCAGACUCCUACGGGAGGCAGCAGUGGGGAAUAUUGGACAAUGGGCGCAAGCCUGAUCCAGCCAUACCGCGUGGGUGAAGAAGGCCUUCGGGUUGUAAAGCCCUUUUGUUGGGAAAGAAAAGCAGCAGGUUAAUACCCCGCUGUUCUGACGGUACCCAAAGAAUAAGCACCGGCUAACUUCGUG
rnacentral:rRNA from 1 species